UACGUAGGGGCCUAGCGUUGUCCGGAUUUAUUGGGCGUAAAGAGCUCGUAGGCGGUUUGGUUAGUCAGGUGUGAAAUCCUGGAGCUCAACUCCAGAACUGCCUUUGAUACUGGCGAGCUUGAGUUCGGGAGAGGUGAGUGGAACUGCGAGUGUAGAGGUGAAAUUCGUAGAUAUUCGCAAGAACACCAGUGGCGAAGGCGGCUCACUGGCCCGAUACUGACGCUGAGGUGCGAAAGCGUGGGGAGCAAACAGG
rnacentral:rRNA from 1 species